rnacentral:rRNA from 1 species
AUUGAACGCUGGCGGCAGGCCUAACACAUGCAAGUCGAGCGGAGCGGCGGACGGGGGGGUAAUGCCUAGGAAUCUGCCUGGUAGUGGGGGAUAACGUCCGGAAACGGGCGCUAAUACCGCAUACUAUCAGAUGAGCCUAGGUGGGAUGAGCUAGUUGGUGGGGUAUAGGCCGACAAAGGCGACGAUCCGUAGCUGGUCUGAGAGGAGGAUCAGUCACACUGGAACUGAGACACGGUCCAGACUCCUACGGGAGGCAGCAGUGGGGAAUAUUGGACAAUGGGCGAAAGGCUGAUGCAGCCAUGCCGCGUGUGUGAAGAAGGUCUUCGGAGUGUAAAGCACUUUAAGUUGGGAGGCGUUACCAACAGAAUAAGCACCGGCUAACUUCGUGCCAGCAGCCGCGGUAAUAC